rnacentral:misc_RNA from 1 species
CUGAAAAGUGUACGAGAUGAGGUGUGUGGAGGGCGGGGCCCUGUGUGUGACGUCAUCACUAGUGCCAGACAGGCCCUCGCUCCCUCCACCUUCUGGCACUGUUUCUGGCCUCCACGGCUCUACUGCACCAUAUAGUUACUGAGGGCGCACAAAGUGAUUGAGAGGGGACCAUGUCUAGCUACCAAGAUGACAACAGCAUACCUCUGGUGGAUGAUGACCCAUCAGUCGUGCUGGAUGAUGAUCGAACAGCAGCUUCUGAAAUAUCAGACUCUACUCGAGGCCAGAGUUUGGAGUCUAUCCCGUCUGCAUACACAAAUGGCUCCAACAGUCCUUUGCAUAAUAGCUUAGGACUAGAUAUGUCACCUGACGAGCAGGAGGAGAAGGCCCGCCUCAUUGCUCAGGUGCUGGAGCUGCAGAACACGCUGGAUGAUCUCUCUCAGCGAGUUGAUAGUGUCAAAGAAGAGAAUCUUAAACUGCGCUCUGAAAACCAGGUUCUUGGCCAGUACAUUGAGAAUCUCAUGUCUGCUUCAUCGGUGUUCCAAUCUACAUCACCGAAAACUAAGAAGAAUAAGCAGUGGCGCCAAUUUGAAGCUUGAGAUGUAUGGAAAGUUGUCACAGAGCCAAGUAACCUCCUUACUGCUAAGAUCAAUGAUCUGAACGCUUGCUGUAGCGCUACCGUCAGCCAUGUUUACUCUUCACAGCUGCCUACAACAGUCACUUACGUAUUGCUAUAAAAAGUAUUGUAAGGGUAAAUUAUUAUUUUUGGUUAAUUAUGCUGAUUAUUGUAUGAUGUGUAAUAAGAAAUGCCAAUACUGUAAUAACUAGUGGUUCCUGAAAACAUUUAUUUUCAAACUUUGAAAAUGUUCAUGCUCAUUUUGAAUGCUGAUUAAUACAAGAUUUACAGAAAUGCUGGUGAUACUGUCAGAAAGAAUUUUUGUGAAAAUUGUGCAAGUCUUGCCAUUCCAAAGGUUUCAAGUAAGUGUUUUUGUUGUGUAUAUGUAUUGCACAUCUUGUGUCUCCUUAAAAAAGUUUAAACAUUUUAUAAUACUAACUUUAUUUCUUAAAAUUUGUACAUACUAUAGUUUAUUGACAAUUGUACAUUAUCAUACUCUAAGGUCAGAAUUAAACAAUGGCUUGUCUGAAAUUAAAAGUUUAUAUUUUGUGUAAACUUUGUUAAAAUAAGAAGUUUUGCAGAUAAACAUUUAGCAGCACAUCAAAGUUGACCAAAAUAUUUAUCUAGAAUCACCUAUGCAAACGUUUAUUUGAUGUAACAUCAAAGUUUUGCAUGCAGUUACAGUACUCGUGAAAAGUAUGCAUCCCUCUUUCAAGGCCUUACAUAUUUAUGGCACAAAAAAAAAAUGGUUUUAUGAAUGAAAGAUUGUAGACAGAAGUAUGCAAUGGCUACAUGACGUCACAGCAGGAGUUAGCUCUCUGGAGUGACCACAACACCAGAGCCAGUGACCUCCUGGCUGUCAUCGUGAGCCGUUAUGUGCUGCAUUUUGCUUUGUGGCCAUCCAGUGUUUUUUGUACUUAUUAAUUAAUGGUUCAUGUGGUAUGACAUUGUUACUGUAUUGUGGCACCUACCAAAGAAAUAAAAAACCAUUGCUGUAACGGAAGCAGGCCACCAAAGUAAGGCAAAAAGUUAAUAGGUGUGUGUAGCCAAGUUGAUAUGAAGAAGUGUUGAACAUACAGUACUUCUGAAGGGGAAACCGUGGUUACACACCAUCACAGAAACAUUGGUCUGGUCAUCCCAGGAAGACUUCAAAGUCUGCCCUUGCUGUAACAUCAAGGGUACUCUUCAAUGAACAUUUUAGAAUGUUCAAAAACCUUGAAGACAUCUUCAUGGGAUAUGCAGACCAAUGUUUCUGUAAUGGAGUGCCACCAGCAUUUCUUCCUUGGAAGCACACACAAUACUUCAUGUCAACUUAGCUACACCCAACAAUUAACUUAUUCCCCUUUGGUGACCUGCUUCCUUUUAGAGCAAUGGUUUCUUUGUUCUUAUGGUACCUACAAAAGAAAUGUCAUACCACUAAUACCACUGUUAACUGCAAUAAAACACUGCAUAGUACUAGAGCGAGACGCUCAAUGCAAUUGCUCACUACGGAUGCUCGGAGGCAACUUGAUAUCCCAGCUGUGUGGCCCAGGGAGGUAGUGCACACUGUGGUGACAUAUGUACCUAAUGCAUUCUUGUUUACAGUCCUUCACCCACAAGACCAUCAUAAUUUUUUUUGACAUACAUAUGCGCCACCUUGAACAGGGGUGCGCAUACUUAACAGUCAAGCCUGGCUUGGGGAGUAGAACUCCCAGAACCCCACCAAGGUGUACUUUUGACAGGUACUGUAAAUCAUUUAGCUAGUAUAUUGUAUGCCAUUUUCUAAUUGGCAAGAUGUCAUCUUCACAAGGAUGAUGAAAGUAAUCAGAUUUGAAUGUCAUUAUAAAGCUAUUGUAGUAAAGUAUUUUAAACACCAAGAUUGUUUAGUUUCUUGUUCAUGGCUAGUGCUCUGACCUAAGUGUCUGAACAUUAUGUUCACUGGCAUACUAUAUUAUUUAAAUCUAUUUUACAUACUGUACAUGUUAGUGUGUGUUAUUUGUUGUUUACAGAUUUCUCAAAUCUACAACCACUUUUCAAUGUGCUGAUGCAUUUGAUGUUGAAUACUAAUAUUAAUCAUGUUAA